CAGGGGAACAGGAACCUGAUAAAGAAUCAGGAGCCUCAGUGGAUGAAGUAGCAAGACAGUUGGAAAGAUCAGCAUUGGAAGAUAAAGAAAGAGAUGAAGAUGAUGAAGAUGGAGAUGGCGAUGGAGAUGGAGCAACUGGAAAGAAGAAGAAAAAGAAGAAGAAGAAGAGAGGACGUUAGUGUCUUAAGUUAAUGUUAAUUGAUAUAUUAGAAGUGUUUAUUCUGUCGGGUGUGGUGGCUCACACCUGUGAUCCCAGCUACUCCGGAGGCUGAGGCAGGAGAAUUGCUGGAACCCAAGAGACGGAGAUUGCAGUAAGCUGAGAUUGUGCCACUGCACUGCAGCCUGGGCAACAGAGUGAGACUCUGUCUCAAAAAAAAAAAAAAAAAAA
rnacentral:lncRNA from 10 species